UGGGAAGCACGGCUAGGAAGCAAAUCAGG
rnacentral:piRNA from 1 species